rnacentral:tRNA from 1 species
CGGGCUGUAGCGCAGCUUGGUAGCGCACCUGCUUUGGGAGCAGGGGGUCGCCGGUUCAAAUCCGGCCAGCCCGA